rnacentral:tRNA from 1 species
GUGGGUGUAGCUCAAUUGGCAGAGCGUCGGACUGUGGCUCCGAAGGUCGGGGGUUCGAACCCCCUCACCCACCCCA